AUUGAACGCUGGCGGCAGGCCUAACACAUGCAAGUCGAACGAGUGGCGGACGGGUGAGUAAUGUAUGGGAAACUGCCUGAUGGAGGGGGAUAACUACUGGAAACGGUAGCUCAUACCGCAUACCAUCGGAUGUGCCCAGAUGGGAUUAGCUAGUAGGUGGGGUAAAGGCUAACCUAGGCGACGAUCCCUAGCUGGUCUGAGAGGAUGACCAGCCACACUGGAACUGAGGCACGGUCCAGAGUACUACGGGAGGCGGCAGUGGGGAGUAUUGCACAAUGGGCGCAAGCCUGAUGCAGCCAUGCCGCGUGUAUGAAGAAGGCCUGCGGGUUGUAAAGUACUGACAGCGGGGAGGCGUUACCCGCAGAAGAAGCACCGGCUAACUCCGUGCCAGCAGCCGCGGGAAUUC
rnacentral:rRNA from 1 species